UGCGUAGGCGGUAUCAUAAGUCAGUGGUGAAAUCCUUCAGCUUAACUGAAGACGUGCCAUUGAAACUAUUUUACUUGAAUACAGAUGAAGUAGGCGGAACACGAUAUGUAGCGGUGAAAUGCAUAGAUAUAUCGUAGAACACCGAUUGCGAAGGCAGCUUACUAAACUGUUAUUGACGCUGAUGCACGAAAGCGUGGGUAUCGAACAGGAUUAGAUACCCUGGUAGUCC
rnacentral:rRNA from 1 species